rnacentral:rRNA from 1 species
ACAGUGGACGCGAGCAUCUGUGGCCAAGUUUUUAAGGGCGCACGGUGGAUGCCUUGGCACCAGGAACCGAUGAAGGACGUGGGAGGCCGCGAUAGGCCCCGGGGAGCUGUCAACCGAGCUGUGAUCCGGGGGUGUCCGAAUGGGGAAACCCGGCAGUCGUCAUGGGCUGUCACCCACUGCUGAACACAUAGGCAGUGUGGAGGGAACGCGGGGAAGUGAAACAUCUCAGUACCCGCAGGAAGAGAAAACAACCGUGAUUCCGGGAGUAGUGGCGAGCGAAACUGGAUGAGGCUAAACCGUAUGUGUGUGAUACCCGGCAGGGGUUGCGCAUACGGGGUUGUGGGAAUGAGCUUCAGUCGUCUGCCGGCGACUGGGCAAGUCAGAAACCAUUGCGAUAGACGAAGGACAUGCGAAAGGUCCGGCGUAGAGGGUAAGACCCCCGUAGUUGAAAUCGUGAUGGCUUGCUUGCUCAUCUCCCAAGUAGCACGGGGCCCGAGAAAUCCCGUGUGAAUCUGGCGGGACCACCCGCUAAGCCUAAAUAUUCCCUGGUGACCGAUAGCGGAUAGUACCGUGAGGGAAUGGUGAAAAGUACCGCGGGAGCGGAGUGAAAUAGUACCUGAAACCGUGUGCCUACAAGCCGUGGGAGCGUCGCCGUGUUCUUCGGAGCACGGUCGUGACUGCGUGCCUUUUGAAGAAUGAGCCUGCGAGUUUGCGGUGUGUUGCGAGGUUAACCCGUGUGGGGAAGCCGUAGCGAAAGCGAGUCCGAAUAGGGCGAUGUAGUAGCGCGCUCAAGACCCGAAGCGGAGUGAUCUAGCCAUGGGCAGGUUGAAGCGGAGGUAAGACUUCGUGGAGGACCGAACCCACCAGGGUUGAAAACCUGGGGGAUGACCUGUGGUUAGGGGUGAAAGGCCAAUCAAACUCCGUGAUAGCUGGUUCUCCCCGAAAUGCAUUUAGGUGCAGCGUCGUGUGUUUCUUGCCGGAGGUAGAGCACUGGAUAGGCGAUGGGCCCUACCGGGUUACUGACCUUAGCCAAACUCCGAAUGCCGGUAAGUGAGAGCGCGGCAGUGAGACUGUGGGGGAUAAGCUCCAUGGUCGAGAGGGAAACAGCCCAGAGCAUCGACUAAGGCCCCUAAGCGUACGCUAAGUGGGAAAGGAUGUGGAGUCGCAGAGACAACCAGGAGGUUGGCUUAGAAGCAGCCAUCCUUGAAAGAGUGCGUAAUAGCUCACUGGUCAAGUGAUUCCGCGCCGACAAUGUAGCGGGGCUCAAGCGUACCGCCGAAGUCGUGUCAUUGCAGCAUGUGGUCCAACGGCCGCUGUGAUGGGUAGGGGAGCGUCGUGUGCCGGGUGAAGCAGCCGUGUAAGCGAGUUGUGGAUGGUUCACGAGUGAGAAUGCAGGCAUGAGUAGCGAUACACACGUGAGAAACGUGUGCGCCGAUUGACUAAGGGUUCCUGGGUCAAGCUGAUCUGCCCAGGGUAAGUCGGGACCUAAGGCGAGGCCGACAGGCGUAGUCGAUGGACAACCGGUUGAUAUUCCGGUACCCGCUUUGAAGCGUCAACGCUGAACCAGGCGAUGCUAAGUCCGUGAAGCCGCCCCGGAGCCUUCGGGCAAAGGGGAGUGGUGGAGCCGACGGACCAGACUUGUAGUAGGUGAGUGAUGGGGUGACGCAGGAAGGUAGUCCAGCCCGGGCGGUGGUUGUCCCGGGGUAAGGGUGUAGCCCGAGGGGUAGGUAAAUCCGUCCCUCAUAUAGGGGUGAGACCUGAUGCCGAGCCGAUUGUGGCGAAGUGGAUGAUCCUAUGCUGUCGAGAAAAGCCUCUAGCGAGUUUCAUGGCGGCCCGUACCCUAAACCGACUCAGGUGGUCAGGUAGAGAAUACCGAGGCGUUCGGGUGAACUAUGGUUAAGGAACUCGGCAAAAUGCCCCCGUAACUUCGGGAGAAGGGGGGCCAUUGCUGGUGAUCACCCUUGCGGUGUGAGCUGGUGGUGGCCGCAGAGACCAGCGAGAAGCGACUGUUUACUAAAAACACAGGUCCGUGCGAAGCCGUAAGGCGAUGUAUACGGACUGACGCCUGCCCGGUGCUGGAACGUUAAGGGGACCGGUUAGUGGGAUUUCGAUUCCGCGAAGCUGAGAACUUAAGCGCCAGUAAACGGCGGUGGUAACUAUAACCAUCCUAAGGUAGCGAAAUUCCUUGUCGGGUAAGUUCCGACCUGCACGAAUGGCGUAACGACUUCUCGACUGUCUCAACCAUAGGCCCGGUGAAAUUGCAUUACGAGUAAAGAUGCUCGUUUCGCGCAGCAGGACGGAAAGACCCCGGGACCUUUACUAUAGCUUGAUAUUGGUGUUCGGUUCGGCUUGUGUAGGAUAGGUGGGAGACUGUGAACUCUGGACGCCAGUUCAGGGGGAGUCGUUGUUGAAAUACCACUCUGGUCGUGCUGGAUGUCUAACCUGGGUCCGUGAUCCGGAUCAGGGACAGUGUCUGGUGGGUAGUUUAACUGGGGCGGUUGCCUCCUAAAGGGUAACGGAGGCGCCCAAAGGUUCCCUCAGCCUGGUUGGCAAUCAGGUGUUGAGUGUAAGUGCACAAGGGAGCUUGACUGUGAGACUGACGGGUCGAGCAGGGACGAAAGUCGGGACUAGUGAUCCGGCGGUGGCUUGUGGAAGCGCCGUCGCUCAACGGAUAAAAGGUACCCCGGGGAUAACAGGCUGAUCUUCCCCAAGAGUCCAUAUCGACGGGAUGGUUUGGCACCUCGAUGUCGGCUCGUCGCAUCCUGGGGCUGGAGUCGGUCCCAAGGGUUGGGCUGUUCGCCCAUUAAAGCGGUACGCGAGCUGGGUUUAGAACGUCGUGAGACAGUUCGGUCCCUAUCCGCUGUGCGCGUAGGAGUCUUGAGAAGGGCUGUCCCUAGUACGAGAGGACCGGGACGGACGAACCUCUGGUGUGCCAGUUGUUCUGCCAAGGGCAUGGCUGGUUGGCUACGUUCGGGAGGGAUAACCGCUGAAAGCAUCUAAGCGGGAAGCCUGCUUCGAGAUGAGGGCUCCCACCCACGUGAUGGGUUAAGGCUCCCAGUAGACGACUGGGUUGAUAGGCCAGAUAUGGAAGCCGGGUGACCGGUGGAGUUGACUGGUACUAAUAGGCCGAGGGCUUGUCCUCAGGUG